CAAUUCAUUACAAGGAUACUUGACAGAGAAGCAAACAAGCUUGGAAAACAUUGCAGCACUCCUGGUUUUUUUUAAAUAAAGCAGGAAAAACACUGGAAGACUAAAUACAAGGCCUAAAGCUGGACAGGUGGGUCUUUAGGACAAGACUUUGGCUGCCCCUCAGGGCACUCCCGAGAUGCCUCCCCGUUUGUCCCUGUCCCUCACAGUUUGUCCCUGCUCCGGUUCCGGUCCCUCAGGUUUGUCCCCGUCCCUCACAGUUUGUCCCUGCUCCGGUCCCGGUCGCUCAGGUUUGUCCCUGUCCCUCACAGUUUGUCCCUGCUCCUGUCCCGGUCGCUCAGGUUUGUCCCUGUCCCUCACAGUUUGUCCCUGCUCCUGUCCCGGUCGCUCAGGUUUGUCCCUGUCCCUCACAGUUUGUCCCUGCUCCUGUCCCGGUCGCUCAGGUUUGUCCCUGUCCCUCACAGUUUCUCCCUGCUCCUGUCCCGGUCGCUCAGGUUUGUCCCCGUCCCUCACGAUCCCC